AUGCUAUUCCUCUCUUUUCUGUUCUUUAGCUGUGGCCGGGGAAGAAGUUCAACGCUCUCGGAAAGCGACUUCGAACUGGAGAGAGAGCUCAAGAUGCUUAACAAGCCCUAUGUCAAAUCCUUCAAGGAUAAUUAUGGGGUAGUUUUUGACUGCGUUGACAUUUACAAGCAGCCCGCAUUCGAUCACCCUCUCCUGAAGAACCACAUACUACAGAUGCCUCCAAAUUCAAGUUCCGGCACUGGUCUACCGACAACAGGGGUAAGUUGUCCUUACGGAACUGUCCCGAUACGGAGAACUCUCAAGGAAGAUCUUGUAAGGGGACGUGCACUUCGUCCGGUGUACAAACCAACGUCAACGCAAGACACGAGUGGAAUUGACGGGCAGCAUUUCGCCCAGGUGUUGUUAGACUGCGAGAAAGGCAAGACAUUCCAGAGCGCGAGUGCUUCGAUCGAGGUGUAUUAUCUCCCUAUGCCGUCAGAUGCUGCUUCCACAGCUCAGAUGCUAGUUGUGGACGACAGGUCAAGCAAUGUGACCGUCGUGCAAGCUGGAUGGCAUAUCGAUCCUCGCCGUGAAGGCGACGGACAGAGUCGUUUCCUGGUAUUCUGGACGGCUGAUGACUACAAAGAGACGGGCUGCUUGAACAUGCAGUGCCCCGGAUUUGUGGCGGUAAACCCAUAUAUCGCCCCUGGGAUGGUCCUUCCAAUUGGAUCAUCAAUUGCUUUAGCCAUCAGCAGGUAUGACCAGACCGGGAACUGGUUUGUUUAUGUCAACGGAAUGGUGGUCGGGUACUUCCCACCCGCCAUAGUCAAUGGCAUGGACGGCAGCACUCAGGUCCAGCUGGGAGGGAUCGUGUAUGCGCCACCGGGGAGUAAGAGGCCUCCCAUGGGCAGCGGCAUAGCACCGGGGCCCCGCAGUAACAAUGGCGCCGCCAAGUUCAAGUCGGUAGAGACGCGCGGCUGCACGAAAGUCAAAGUUAGGGCGACCAAGGACGUCGAGAACUCCAACAUAUACGACGUGAUGGUCACUUCAGAUUCAGAAUUCCAGUAUGGUGGCCCCGGAGAUGCAUAG
rnacentral:rRNA from 1 species